UACGAAGGGGGCUAGCGUUGCUCGGAAUCACUGGGCGUAAAGCGCACGUAGGCGGCUUUCUAAGUCAAGGGUGAAAUCCUGGAGCUCAACUCCAGAACUGCCUUUGAUACUGGAGAGCUCGAGUCCGGAAGAGGUGAGUGGAACUCCGAGUGUAGAGGUGAAAUUCGUAGAUAUUCGGAAGAACACCAGUGGCGAAGGCGGCUCACUGGUCCGGUACUGACGCUGAGGUGCGAAAGCGUGGGGAGCAAACAGG
rnacentral:rRNA from 1 species